GACGAACGCUGGCGGCGUGCUUAACACAUGCAAGUCGAACGGAAAGGCCCUGCUUUUGUUGGAUGCUCGGGGAGCGAACGGGUAAGAAACAAGUGAGUAACCUGCCCUUGACUGUGGAAUAACUUCAGGAAACUGGGGCAAAUACCGUAUAGGAGCUCCGCCUGCAGGGGGGUGGUAGGAAAGGUGGGGCGUUUGGGGAUGGACUCGCGGCUUAUCAGCUUGUUGGUGGGUUGGUGGCUUACCAAGGCUGUGACGGGUAGCCGGCCUGAGAGGGUGACCGGCCACAGUGGGAGUGAGAUACGGCAGAGACCCAUACGGGAGGGAGGAGUGGAGUAUAGUGCAAAAGGGGCGAAAGUGUGAUGGAGAAACGGCGCGUGCGGGAUGACGGCCUUCGGGGUGUAACGCGCUUUCGAGUGUGACGAAGCGUGGGGACGGGAAAUGGGGAAAGAGGAACCGCCUACUUACGU
rnacentral:rRNA from 1 species